GACGAACGCUGGCGGCGUGCCUAAUACAUGCAAGUUGAGCGCUGAAGGUUGGUACUUGUACCGACUGGAUGAGCAGCGAACGGGUGAGUAACGCGUGGGGAAUCUGCCUUUGAGCGGGGGACAACGUUUGGAAACGAAUGCUAAUACCGCAUAAAAACUUUAAACACAAGUUUUAAGUUUGAAAGAUGCAAUUGCAUCACUCAAAGAUGAUCCCGCGUUGUAUUAGCUAGUUGGUGAGGUAAAGGCUCACCAAGGCGAUGAUACAUAGCCGACCGGGGGGGGUGAUCGGACACAUGGGGACUGAGAAACGGCCCAAACUCCUACGGGAGGCAGCAGUAGGGAAUCUUCGGCAAUGGACGAAGGUCUGACCGAGCAACGCCGCGUGAGUGAAGAAGGUUUUCGGAUCGUAAAACUCUGUUGGUAGAGAAGAACGUUGGUGAGAGUGGAAAGCUCAUCAAGUGACGGUAACUACCCAGAAAGGGACGGCUAACUACGUGCCAGCCGCCGCGGUAA
rnacentral:rRNA from 1 species